CUGCCCAGUACCUGCGGGUCCAAGGGCUCAAGGGCGCUCACUGGAGAGAGCUGCUGAGACACGGAUGAGGCGUCAUCCUCUAUUGGACUGACUUCACUCCAGAACUCAGCCCGGCCUCACCGCGAAGUAGGGGCCUUGCAGGCAGGACAAGCAGAGCACCAGCAGCCCCCAGAGCAGCGUCAUGUUCC